rnacentral:rRNA from 1 species
CCUUUGUACACACCGCCCGUCGCUACUACCGAUUGAAUGGCUCAGUGAGGCUUUCGGACUGGCCCAGAGAGGGGGGCAACCACCACUCAGGGCCGGAAAGUUAUCCAAACUUGGUCAUUUAGAGG